rnacentral:rRNA from 1 species
GAUGAACGCUAGCUACAGGCUUAACACAUGCAAGUCGAGGGGAAGCGAUAGAGAAAGCUUGCUUUUUCUAGGCGUCGACCGGCGCACGGGUGAGUAACGCGUAUCCAACCUGCCCACCACUUGGGGAUAACCUUGCGAAAGUAAGACUAAUACCCAAUGAUAUCUCAAGAUGACAUCUGAAUGAGAUUAAAGAAUUAUCGGUGAUGGAUGGGGAUGCGUCUGAUUAGCUUGUUGGCGGGGUAACGGCCCACCAAGGCGACGAUCAGUAGGGGUUCUGAGAGGAAGGUCCCCCACAUUGGAACUGAGACACGGUCCAAACUCCUACGGGAGGCAGCAGUGAGGAAUAUUGGUCAAUGGGCGAGAGCCUGAACCAGCCAAGUAGCGUGCAGGAUGACGGCCCUAUGGGUUGUAAACUGCUUUUAUAAGGGAGUAAAGUGAGUCUCGUGAGGCUUUUUGCAUGUACCUUAUGAAUAAGGACCGGCUAAUUCCGUGCCAGCCGCCGCGGUAA